UGGGGAAUAUUGCACAAUGGGCGCAAGCCUGAUGCAGCAACGCCGCGUGAAUGAUGAAGGUCUUCGGAUCGUAAAGUUCUGUCGCAGGGGAAGAUAAUGACGGUACCCUGUGAGGAAGCCCCGGCUAACUACGUGCCAGCAGCCGCGGUAAUACGUAGGGGGCUAGCGUUAUCCGGAUUUACUGGGCGUAAAGGGUGCGUAGGUGGUCUUUCAAGUCGGUGGUUAAAGGCUACGGCUCAACCGUAGUUAGCCUCCGAAACUGGAAGACUUGAGUGCAGGAGAGGAAAGUGGAAUUCCCAGUGUAGCGGUGAAAUGCGUAGAUAUUGGGAGGAACAACAGUAGAGAAGGCGGCUUUCUGGACUGAAACUGACACUGAGGCACGAAAGCGUGGGUAGCAAACAGG
rnacentral:rRNA from 1 species